rnacentral:rRNA from 1 species
GGCCCGCACAAGCAGCGGUAGCGUGUGGUUAAUUCGAUGCUACACGAAGAACCUUACCAGGGUUUGACAUACAAGUAGUAGGAAGGAAACUGGACCGACCCUUCGGGGAGCUUGUACAGGUGCUGCAUGGCUGUCGUCAGCUCGUGUCGUGAGAUGUUCGGUUAAGUCCGCUAACGAGCGCAACCCUCGUCGUAUGUUAUAUGCGUCAUACGAGACUGCCGGUAAAAAGCCGGAGGAAGGUGAGGAUGAUGUCAAGUCAGCAUGACCUUUAUAUCCAGGGCUACACACACGCUACAAUGGUCUGUACAAUGGGUAGCCAAGCCGCGAGGCGGAGCCAAUCCUGAAAGCAGGCCUCAGUUCAGAUUGCAGUCUGCAACUCGACUGCAUGAAGCCGGAGUUGCUAGUAACCGCAGGUCAGCAAUACUGCGGUGAAUACGUUCCCGGGUCUU